GAGUUUGAUCGUGGCUCAGGAUGAACGCUGGCGGCGUGCCUAAUACAUGCAAGUAGAACGCUGAAGCUUGGUGCUUGCACCGAGCGGAUGAGUUGCGAACGGGUGAGUAACGCGUAGGUAACCUGCCUGGGUAGCGGGGAUAACUAUUGGAACGAUAGCUAAUACCGCAUAACAGUAGAUAUUGCAUGAUAUCUGCUUGAAAGGUGCAAUUGCAUCACUACCAGAUGGACCUGCGUUGUAUUAGCUAGUUGGUGAGGUAACGGCUCACCAAGGCGACGAUACAUAGCCGACCUGAGAGGGUGAUCGGCCACACUGGGACUGAGACACGGCCCAGACUCCUACGGGAGGCAGCAGUAGGGAAGUCUUCGGCAAUGGGGGAACCCGUGACCGAGCAACGCCGCGUGAGUGAAGAAGGUUUUCGGAUCGUAAAGCUCUGUUGUAAGAGAAGAACGAGUGUGAGAGUGGAAAGUUCACACUGUGACGGUAUCUUACCAGAAAGGGA
rnacentral:rRNA from 1 species